AGCGAACGCUGGCGGCAGGCCUAACACAUGCAAGUCGAGCGCCGUAGCAAUACGGAGCGGCAGACGGGAGAGUAACACGUGGGAACGUGCCCUUCAGUUCGGAACAACCCAGGGAAACUUGGGCUAAUACCGGAUACGUCCGUAAGGAGAAAGAUUUAUCGCUGAAGGAUCGGCCCGCGUCUGAUGAGCUAGUUGGUGUGGUAACGGCGCACCAAGGCGACGAUCAGUAGCUGGUCUGAGAGGAUGAUCAGCCUCACUGGGACUGAGACACGGCCCAGACUCCUACGGGAGGCAGCAGUGGGGAAUAUUGGACAAUGGGCGCAAGCCUGAUCCAGCCAUGCCGCGUGGGUGAUGAAGGCCUUAGGGUUGUAAAGCCCUUUCGGCGGGGAAGAUAAUGACGGUACCCGCAGAAGAAGCCCCGGCUAACUUCGUGCCAGCCGCCGCAGUAAGAC
rnacentral:rRNA from 1 species